GGUCGAAGUGCAACCCCAGCACAAGUUCGACAGAGGUCCCUGGAGGCCUACCGAAAACAGAACUUGCCUGGCUUUGGAGCAGAGCGCGAGGCGAAGCUGACCGUUGCCCAGUAUAGGUAUCCAGCAAAAUACAAAUCUAUCAAGACAGUCCUAUCCAACCUUUUAUCUCCAGAAGGGCUUUCAAGCAUAUGUACUAAAAAAACCCACCUGGUUCACUUCUUCCUAAAGCCUGUAAGGGUUGAGUCUUUCGUGAUUUCACAAUUCCUGGAGGUGGCCCAGCAGAACGCUCAGCCCUGUGUGUGUUCAUGAUGGAAACCUUGGCUCGGUUACCUUCCUCGAGUGUGGAGUCUUUGCAGAUGGAAGGAUUCAGCAGCGGGGCUGCGCACUGCAGAAGACAGGGGUCAACCUGGACAAAGCAAUAUCAAGCUGCAGCUCAUGAGGACAUCCCUGCCAUGAACCAGCUGUCUGAUUGGCUAAUGAAAAACUUGCCAGAUAACGACAAUGAAGAAAAUUUGAUUCAUGGAGGUUUCAAACUAGUUAACAUAGUUUUCCACCUUAAAGAAGUACUGUAAGCCAUGUUUAUAAUAAAUUGAGUAGGUCUGAUUUGGAACACAAAUACUAAGUAGAUGUUUCCCCCCAGAGUGCUAAAAGAGCCCAGCCCAUUCCCACUCUUCCUCUACAUUCAGGAUUAUCUUCACCACUCAAAACUUUUAGAAAUGCAUCCAGGAGAUUUUCUGGCAUAGGUAGCUGCCUGCCUCUAAGGCUACAUCUGAUCUUGAGUGAUGUUUGAUUUACUGCUUAAGAACGAUUUGGGAAUUUACAUGCAUGUCUUUUUUCUUCAAAGAAGUUUUUCAUCCAGUAAAAAUAUUUAGUUUAUCCA